GGCAAGGUGGCAGAGUGGUCUAAUGCGUACGUUUUAUCUUGUUCUAUCACUUCCCUUUCUUCAAAAUACUAAUUCAUUUCUACAGGCUAGACUAGAAAUCUAGUUCCUUCGGGAGCGUGUGUUCAAAUCACACCCUUGUCG
rnacentral:tRNA from 1 species